UGGGGUGUGGCUCAGUGGCAGAACAUUUGCCUGUCAUAGACAAGGUCCUGGGUUCUAAUCCCAGGACCCCAG
rnacentral:tRNA from 1 species